GUUAGUGUAGCAUAAUAUAAUGCAUCUGCUUUAAGCGUGGAAGAUUUAUCUCUAACU
rnacentral:tRNA from 1 species